AUGACUUUGGGGACCCCCCUUAUCACCUUGGGGAGCCUCUUAUCAAUUUGGGGACCUGUCACCUUGGGACCUCCACCACCAUCUUGGGGACCCUCUUGUCACCUUGGGGAUCCCCUUAUCACUUUGGGGACCCCCUUAUCACUUUGGGGCCUCCCUUAUCCAUUUGGGGACCCCCUCAUGACUUUGGGGACCCCCUUAUUACCUUGGGGAGCCUCUUAUCACAUUGGGGACCCCCCUCCCACUUUGGAGACCCCCCAUAACUUUGGGGACCCCCUUAUCACCGUGGAGACCCCCUUAUUAAUUUGGGGACCCCGUUAUCACUUUGGGGACCCACCCAUGACUUUGGGGACCCCCUUAUCACCUUGGGGACCCCCCAUAACUUUGGGGACCCCCUUAUCCAUUUGGGGACCCCCCCAUGACUUUGGGGACCCCCCUUAUCACCUUGGGGAGCCUCUUAUCAAUUUGGGGACCCUCCUGUCACCUUGGGGGCCCCCUUAUCACUUUGGGGACCCCCUUAUCACUUUGGGGCCCUCCUUAUCCAUUCGGGGACCCCCCCCACGAUUUUGGGGACCCCCUUAUCACCUUGGGGCCCCCCCCCCCAUGACCUCGAGGACCGCUCUGUCCCCUUGGGGACGCUGGUGUCACCGCACCGCUGCCAUUUAUUGCGCAACGUCAGAGCUGCCACUGGGACAAUGCCACGCGUCCCCAGUUGUCACCAAAUGUCACCGAGGUGGUGGCACUGGGACAAUGCCACGCGUCCCCAAUUGUCACCAAGGUGGUGGCACUGGCACAAUGCUAUACGUCCCCAAUUGUCACCCACUGGUGGCACUGGGACAAUGCCACGUGUCCCCAGUUGUCACCAAGGUGGUGGCAUUGGGACAAUGCCACGCGUCCCCAAUUGUCACCAACUGUCACUCAUUGGUGGCACUGGGACAAUGCCACAUGUCCCCAGUUGUCACUGAGGUGGUGGCACUGGGACAAUGCCACGUGUCCCCGGUUGUCCCCAACUGUCACUCAAUGGUGGCACUGAGACAAUGCCACGUGUCCCCAACUGUCCCCAAUUGUCACACAAUGGUGGCACUGGCACAAUGCCACGUGUCCCCAGUUGUCCCCAAAUGUCACACAAUGGUGGCACUGGGACAAUGCCACGUGUCCCCACUUGUCCCCAAGGUGGUGGCACCGGGACAAUGCCACAUGUCCCCACUUGUCCCUCCCAGCGGUGUCCCCCGUUGUCCCCAUUGCCACCGGGACGCAGCCGUGUCCCCGCGGUGUCCCCACGUCCUCAGGGCGUCUGUCCCCACGGCGUUGUCCCCUCGGUGUCCCCACGGCGGUGUCCCGCUGCGCCCGCUCCUCCUGGAUGCGCAGCACCCGCUGCUUCAGCGCUGCCAUCUCGCGCCGCUGGGGACAGGGGACAAACAGACACGGGGUGAGGGGACAAAGGGACAGGGGACAAAGGGACGCAGGGUGAGGGGACAAAGGGACAGGGGACACACGGAUGCGGGGUGA
rnacentral:lncRNA from 1 species